rnacentral:rRNA from 1 species
AUUGAACGCUGGCGGCAGGCCUAACACAUGCAAGUCGAGCGGAUGAAGGGAGCUUGCUCCUGGAUUCAGCGGCGGACGGGUGAGUAAUGCCUAGGAAUCUGCCUGGUAGUGGGGGAUAACGUCCGGAAACGGGCGCUAAUACCGCAUACGUCCUGAGGGAGAAAGUGGGGGAUCUUCGGACCCACGCUAUCAGAUGAGCCUAGGUCGGAUUAGCUAGUUGGUGGGGUAAAGGCCUACCAAGGCGACGAUCCGUAACUGGUCUGAGAGGAUGAUCAGUCACACUGGAACUGAGACACGGUCCAGACUCCUACGGGAGGCAGCAGUGGGGAAUAUUGGACAAUGGGCGAAAGCCUGAUCCAGCCAUGCCGCGUGUGUGAAGAAGGUCUUCGGAUUGUAAAGCACUUUAAGUUGGGAGGAAGGGCAGUAAGUUAAUACCUUGCUGUUUUGACGUUACCAACAGAAUAAGCACCGGCUAACUUCGUG